GGCGCGCUCCCUGGAGUCCACAGCUUUAAAGCUCCCAACAAAGGAAUCAAGAGGGAUGGAAUGGCAUUGAGAUAACAUCCGACUGUCUGAUGAAAUGGUGCUGUCAGAGGGAAUCUGUAUUCCUGUGCAAGAACUGCUUGCCUGGAUUUCCAGGACUGGCCACAAAAAUGCUGCAUGGAGUCAACCAUUAAUCAAACAGAAAGGACUCACCUGCAUAGAAAAUAGAAUAUGGAGCUUCCUAUAGUGAAACAUAAAUCAAUUGGUCAGAGCAAUGGCAUAAAAUUGUAUUGAAUGUGCUUCAAAAUGGCAGAGAAACGUGCAAGGUUACAUACUAUCUUAAUUUCUACCUUGCUUCAUUUCCAUGAGGCAGAAGCAACACACUCUUCAGACGCAUGGAAUUUGGAAAGACUACUUUCAAGAGAUCUUUGAUAGUCCUCUGUGAGCAUACUUAUGUCUGCCUGAGAGACAUCCAUUCAAGGCUUGUUUUGCUGCCUUCUUUUUGCUGAUCUCUUUUGAUUCAGAUGGAUGAUUCAUGCUGUCUCCUCCAGGAAGUCCCUGAUCUUCUGGAUAGAAUGAAUGACUCUCCUGCCAUGUGCCCUCCCACUUUGAUUGCAUUUUUCUGGAGGCACCCUGUCCUUACACUAUUGACUGGGUACAUGUGUGUCUCUUAAAAUAAAACUCUUCUCA
rnacentral:lncRNA from 1 species